AUGUAAUCUGCGUAAUGGUGCGUGAAUGUGUGCA
rnacentral:sRNA from 1 species